AAGUCGUAACAAGGUCUCCGUUGGUGAACCAGCGGAGGGAUCAUUACAGAGUUGCAAAACUCCCAACCCUUUGUGAACGAACCUACCAGUUGCUUCGGCGGCAGACUCCUCUGGGGCCUAGCCUUUACGGGUACCCCGCCGGAGUCCUACAAACUCUUGAUUUUUUGGCAUCUCUGAGUAGCUUAUAAAUAAGUUAAAACUUUCAACAACGGAUCUCUUGGUUCUG
rnacentral:misc_RNA from 1 species